rnacentral:rRNA from 1 species
CGAGGACGAACGCUGGCGGCGUGCUUCAUACAUGCAAGUCGAACGAGAAACUGACUUCGGUCAGUGGAAAGUGGCGGACGGGUGAGUAAAAUGUAGAGAAUCUGCCCUAGAGAGUGGGACAACAGAGGGAAACUUCUGCUAAUACCGCAUAUGCGCGUAGCUGAGAUGCUAUUCGUGAAAACUCCGGUGCUCUGGGAUGAGUCUGCAUCUGAUUAGCUAGUUGGCGGUGUAAUGGACCACCAAGGCGACGAUCAGUAGCUGGUUUGAGAGGAUGAUCAGCCACAAUGGGACUGAGACACGGCCCAUACUCCUACGGGAGGCAGCAGUAGGGAAUUUUGCGCAAUGGGGGAAACCCUGACGCCAGCGACGCCGCGUGAGCGAAGAAGUAUUUCGGUAUGUAAAGCUCUAUCAGCAGGGAAGAAAAUGACGGUACCUGACUAAGAAGCCCCGGCUAACUACGUGCCAGCCGCCGC